AUUGAACGCUGGCGGCAGGCCUAACACAUGCAAGUCGAACGAGUGGCGGACGGGUGAGUAAUGUAUGGGAAUCUGCCUGAUGGAUGGGGAUAACUACUGGAAACGGUAGCUAAUACCGCAUACCAUCGGAUGUGCCCAGAUGGGAAUAGCUUGUUGGUGGGGUAACGGCUAACCAAGGCGACGAGCCCUAGCUGGUCUGAGAGGAGGACCAGCCACACUGGAACUGAGACACGGUCCAGACUCCUACGGUAGGCAGCAGUGGGGAAUAUUGCACAAUGGGCGCAAGCCUGAUGCAGCCAUGCCGGGUGUAUGAAGAAGGCCUUCGGGUUGUAAAGUACUUUAAGCGGGGAGGCGUUACCCGCAGAAGAAGCACCGGCUAACUCCGUGCCAGCAGCCGCGGUAAUAC
rnacentral:rRNA from 1 species